GAUGAGGUGACUGAGUGGUUAAGGUGGUGGACUGCUAAUCCAUUGUGCUCUGUACACGUGGGGUCAAAUCCCAUCCUCAUCA